rnacentral:rRNA from 1 species
AAAUAACAAUACGGGGCUUUAAGUCUUGUAAUUGGAAUGAUGGGAAUUUAAACCUCUUCCAGAGUAUCAAUUGGAGGGCAAGUCUGGUGCCAGCAGCCGCGGUAAUUCCAGCUCCAAUAGCGUAUAUUAAACUUGUUGCAGUUAAAAAGCUCGUAGUUGAAUUUCUGCUGUAUCGUUUUCCUCUGCUUGACAGUUGGAUUUCGUUACGGCUUAGUUGGGUUUCAUUUAUUGUUUCCCGACGUUUACUUUGAGAAAAUUAGAGUGCUUCAAGCAGGCUUUUGCCUUGAAUACUUUAGCAUGGAAUAAUGGAGUAGGACUUUGGUUCUAUUUUGUUGGUUUUAGGAGCCAGAGUAAUGGUUAAUAGGAACAGUUGGGGGCAUUCGUAUUUGACUGUCAGAGGUGAAAUUCUUAGAUUUGUCAAAGACGAACUACUGCGAAAGCAUUUGCCAAGGAUGUUUUCAUUAAUCAAGAACGAAAGUUAGGGGAUCGAAGAA